AACGAACGCUGGCGGCGUGCUUAACACAUGCAAGUCGAACGGGUUUAUUGGAUGUAGCAAUACAUUCAAUAGAUUAGUGGCGCACGGGUGAGUAACACGUAGGCAACCUACCCUUCAGUGGGGGACAACAGAGGGAAACUUCUGCUAAUACCGCAUACGGCCUUGUACUGGGAUGUACGAGGAGAAAGGAUUUAUUCGCUGAGGGAUGGGCCUGCGGCCUAUCAGGUAGUUGGUGGGGUAAAGGCCUACCAAGCCUGCGACGGGUAGCCGGACUGAGAGGUCGACCGGCCACACUGGAACUGAGACACGGUCCAGACUCCUACGGGAGGCAGCAGUGGGGAAUAUUGCACAAUGGGGGAAACCCUGAUGCAGCGACGCCGCGUGGAGGAUGACGGCCUUC
rnacentral:rRNA from 1 species